rnacentral:rRNA from 1 species
GGAUGGACUCGCGUCUGAUUAGCUAGUUGGUGGGGCAACGGCCCACCAAGGCGACGAUCAGUAGCCGGACUGAGAGGUUGGCCGGCCACAUUGGGACUGAGACACGGCCCAGACUCCUACGGAAGGCAGCAG